GACGAACGCUGGCGGCGUGCUUAACACAUGCAAGUCGAACGGAAAGGCCCUGCUUUUGUGGGGUGCUCGAUUGGCGAACGGGUGAGUAACACGUGAGUAACCUGCCCUUGACUUUGGGAUAACUUCAGGAAACUGGGGCUAAUACCGGAUAGGAGCUCUUGCUGCAUGGUGGGGGUUGGAAAGUUUCGGCGGUUGGGGAUGGACUAGCGGCUUAUCAGCUUGUUGGUGGGGUAGUGGCUUACCAAGGCUUUGACGGGUAGCCGGCCUGAGAGGGUGACCGGCCACAUUGGGACUGAGAUACGGCCCAGACUCCUACGGGAGGCAGCAGUGGGGAAUAUUGCACAAUGGGCGGAAGCCUGGUGCAGCAACGCCGCGUGCGGGAUGACGGCCUUCGGGUUGUAAACCGCUUUCGCCUGUGACGAAGCGUGAGUGACGGUAAUGGGUAAAGAAGCACCGGCUAACUACGUG
rnacentral:rRNA from 1 species